rnacentral:rRNA from 1 species
UGCAUAGGAAUCUGCCCGAUAGUGGGGGAUAACCUGGGGAAACCCAGGCUAAUACCGCAUACGUCCUACGGGAGAAAGGGGGCUUCGGCUCCCGCUAUUGGAUGAGCCUAUGUCGGAUUAGCUAGUUGGUGAGGUAAAGGCUCACCAAGGCGACGAUCCGUAGCUGGUCUGAGAGGAUGAUCGGCCACAUCGGGACUGAGACACGGCCCGAACUCCUACGGGAGGCAGCAGUGGGGAAUAUUGGACAAUGGGCGAAAGCCUGAUCCAGCCAUGCCGCGUGUGUGAAGAAGGCCCUCGGGUUGUAAAGCACUUUCAGCGAGGAAGAACGCCUAGUGGUUAAUACCCAUUAGGAAAGACAUCACUCGCAGAAGAAGCACCGGCUAACUCCGUG